AGAGAUCCAGGGAAGUGGCCUGGGAGUUCUGGGGCCAGCAUUGAACGCAAGGUGUCAGCAAGUCUCCUGCCAGAGGUCCUGACGGAGGGGCUGUUCCAGGCCAUGCUCCUGGCUUCCGGUGGUUGCCGGCAACCCUGUGCAUUCCCUGCUUGUAGAGGAACUAGAAAGAUAGAAUCUCUACGGACCCCACAAGACGACUGAUACUACAGACUAGACAAGAGCACCAGAUGAGAAAAUGGAGGUACCAAAAAGUGGGCUCUGAACUGCAGAGCCUGGCUCCAGAGCCCUUGUAUUUGACUACUGGGAUCCACCGUUAUUCUCACAGCCGCGUUUCCCACAGGGCUGCUUUGUAUGGCCUCUUAGAAAAGUCCUGCCUGUCUCCACCAUCCAGACUAUGAUGUCCGUGAGGUCAGAGGAAAGGGAGAAUGUCUCACAUACAGAAAAUGCUUGAUCAACAUUGAUGGAAUCAUAAAUGGGCCUCAGCGGCACCUGUCCUGAGUCAGCAUCUCACAGAGGUUUUGCCAGCGCCAGCCACAUCUCCAGCAUGAAGGUGAUUGUCUGAGUGUGUCCAGUCCAGUUCCUGCCUUAAUAAAAAUCACUGCUGCAAGGGAGAGGGCUGCCAAGGCCCUGCCUCCCUCCAACCCCAUCCUAGCCUGAGUCUUAACCAUUCUUCCAAUCCAGUUCCACUUUGGGCCAGUGCUUAACCCAGGGUAGCACUUUUGAGCCUCGCAACUCUUGGGAGUGAGUUUUCAUCCUAACGUUCUCAGAUGAGGAAAUUGGGCCUCAAAGAGUCCACACAGGUGAGGCACCAUGGCUCAUGCCUAUAAUCCUAACACUUUGGGAGGCCAAGGCAGGAGGAAUGCUUGAGCCCAGGAGUUCAAGACCAGCCUGGGCAACAUGGUGACACCCUGUCUCUAUAAAAAAAUACAACAAUUAGGCAAACGUGGUGGCAUGCACCUGUCAUCCCAGCUACCUGGGAGGCUGAGGUGGGAGGAUUGCUUGAGCCCAGGAGGCUGAGGCUGCAGUGAGCCAUGAUCCUGCCAGUACACUCCAGCCUGGGUGACAGAACAAGACCCUGUCUCAAAAACAAAACAAAACAAAAACAAAAACAAAGCAUCCACACAACUAGCAGGUGAAAAACUGGGGUUCAAACUCAGGCCUAUAACACUAAGGGCUGGGCCUGUCCCCACCAAAUCAGUCUUUCCUCAGACAGGCUGAGGUGUCCUCUAUAGACCAAAUAUCUGGAGGUCAGAACACUGAGACACUAGUUAUGUAAAGGCAGGGUGUGAGUUGGUGAGCUCAUCGAGAAAAUGCUUCCUGGGCUGGGUGCAGUGGCUCACACCUGUAAUCCCAGCACUUUGGGAGGCUGAGGUGGACAGAUCACCUCAAGUCAGGAGUUCAAGACCAGCCUGGCCAACAUGCUGAAACUCUGUCUCUACUAAAAAAUACAAAAAUUUGCCAAGCGCAGUGGCACAUGCCUGUAAUACUAGCUCCUCGGGAGGCUGAGGCAGGAGAACCGCUUGAACCCAGGAGGCAGAGGUUGCAGUGAGCCAAGAUUGCACCACUGAACUCUAGCCUGGGUGACAGAGCAAAACUCUGUCUCAAAAAAAAAAAAAGAAAAGAGAAAAAAGAAAGAGAGAGAAAGAAAGAGAGAGAGAAAGAGAAAGAAA
rnacentral:lncRNA from 1 species